rnacentral:rRNA from 1 species
AGUGAACGCUGGCGGUAGGCCUAACACAUGCAAGUCGAACGGCAGCACAGUAAGAGCUUGCUCUUACGGGUGGCGAGUGGCGGACGGGUGAGGAAUACAUCGGAAUCUACUUUUUCGUGGGGGAUAACGUAGGGAAACUUACGCUAAUACCGCAUACGACCUACGGGUGAAAGCAGGGGAUCUUCGGACCUUGCGCGAUUGAAUGAGCCGAUGUCGGAUUAGCUAGUUGGCGGGGUAAAGGCCCACCAAGGCGACGAUCCGUAGCUGGUCUGAGAGGAUGAUCAGCCACACUGGAACUGAGACACGGUCCAGACUCCUACGGGAGGCAGCAGUGGGGAAUAUUGGACAAUGGGCGCAAGCCUGAUCCAGCCAUACCGCGUGGGUGAAGAAGGCCUUCGGGUUGUAAAGCCCUUUUGUUGGGAAAGAGAAGCAGCAGGUUAAUACCCCGCUGUUCUGACGGUACCCAAAGAAUAAGCACCGGCUAACUUCGU